rnacentral:sRNA from 1 species
GGAUGUGAGGGUGCUCUGGCUAUGACAUCAUCACCUGAUUGAUCAUCAUGAUUGAAUUGGCCAAUGUGGCUGGCCAGGCAGGUGUCCCUUUCCUCACUCACUGCUCCAUGUUCAUUUCUCCAGAAGCUGUGCGCUCAGUUAAAGAGGAUGACCUUCCCUGUAGAGGAUGACCUUCCUUGAUAGAGGAUGACCUUCCCUGAUCGAGGAUGACCUUCCCUGUAGAGGAUGACCUUCCCUGUAGAGGAUGACCUUCCUU